rnacentral:rRNA from 1 species
GAUGAACGCUGGCGGCGUGCCUAAUACAUGCAAGUCGAGCGAACAGAUAAGGAGCUUGCUCCUUUGACGUUAGCGGCGGACGGGUGAGUAACACGUGGGUAACCUACCUAUAAGACUGGGAUAACUUCGGGAAACCGGAGCUAAUACCGGAUAACAUUUGGAACCGCAUGGUUCUAAAGUGAAAGAUGGUUUUGCUAUCACUUAUAGAUGGACCCGCGCCGUAUUAGCUAGUUGGUAAGGUAACGGCUUACCAAGGCAACGAUACGUAGCCGACCUGAGAGGGUGAUCGGCCACACUGGAACUGAGACACGGUCAAGACUCCUACGGGAGGCAGCAGUAGGGAAUCUUCCGCAAUGGGCGAAAGCCUGACGGAGCAACGCCGCGUGAGUGAUGAAGGGGUUCGGCUCGUAAAACUCUGUUAUUAGGGAAGAACAAACGUGUAAGUAACUGUGCACGUCUUGACGGUACCUAAUCAGAAAGCCACGGCUAACUACGUG